UACGGAGGGUGCAAGCGUUGUCCGGAAUUAUUGGGCGUAAAGGGCUCGUAGGCGGUCUGUUGCGUCAGGAGUGAAAACUCGGGGCUUAACCCCGAGCCUGCUUCUGAUACGGGCAGACUAGAGGUAUGCAGGGGAGAACGGAAUUCCUGGUGUAGCGGUGAAAUGCGCAGAUAUCAGGAGGAACACCGGUGGCGAAGGCGGUUCUCUGGGCAUUACCUGACGCUGAGGAGCGAAAGUGUGGGGAGCGAACAGG
rnacentral:rRNA from 1 species